ACGGAAGGCAGCAGUGGGGAAUAUUGCACAAUGGGCGAAAGCCUGAUGCAGCGACGCCGCGUGAGUGAAGAAGUAUCUCGGUAUGUAAAGCUCUAUCAGCAGGGAAGAAAAUGACGGUACCUGACUAAGAAGCCCCGGCUAACUACGUGCCAGCAGCCGCGGUAAUACGUAGGGGGCAAGCGUUAUCCGGAUUUACUGGGUGUAAAGGGAGCGUAGACGGUUUGGCAAGUCUGAAGUGAAAUGCGGGGGCUCAACUCCUGAACUGCCUUGGAAACUGUCGAACUAGAGUGCAGGAGAGGUAAGUGGAAUUCCUAGUGUAGCGGUGAAAUGCGUAGAUAUUAGGAGGAACACCAGUGGCGAAGGCGGCUUACUGGACUGUAACUGACGUUGAGGCUCGAAAGCGUGGGGAGCAAACAGGAUUAGAUACCCUGGUA
rnacentral:rRNA from 1 species